rnacentral:lncRNA from 1 species
AUCAUCUGAGCUCCUCCCUAUCUUUGACGUCCGCAUUUUCUCUGCAUUCCCAUCCAACUGAUCCCCACCAUGUUUCUUGGCCGAUAUUGUAUGAGGCAUCCCUCAGCUCGAUGAGUUGGACAAAAAAUAGAAACUUAAAUGAAGAAGUGUAAUUCGGAAAAAAAGAAAGCUUGAGAGAGAAGAUAAUGAUAUGGUUCAAUAACCAGUACUAAAAGAAAGGGUUAGGAAAGAGAAAAAAAUAAUGAUCGAUGCAAAAGAAAACACAGAAAAAUGAUUAUUCCAACUGUUAACUUGGCUUGCAUAUAUUUACAACAUUUCCAGGGGCUAAUUAAAACUAAAAUCCUAGUCUUGCAUAUAUUUACAAUAUUUUCAGUCUAUCUCGAUCAAUUUCCCUCAGGAAUGUGAAGAUAGGAAUGAGAAAUUUUGGGAAAAUUUUAAGAAACAACUCCAUUUUCCUGUAAAUAAUGAGGAACGAGGAUUAUAUGGAGAAAUUUUCUUUACCUUUUGAUCAUUAUUUUCCAUUCAUUUCACUGGUAAAAGAGUAAAAGGAAAAUGAAAUAACAGAGAUUAUCUCCAAAAAUGAAACUACUGUUUAGGAAGGAAGAGACAUAGCUUGGAGGGUGUGGCCUGCAUUUAUUUGUACAUAGGGUUUCCAAACAAAAUUUCCCCAUUAUAGGAUGAAGAGAGAGAGGAGAAGAUCGAGAGAGUGAGGGAAGGUGACAGAGCAGGGAGGGGGAGCGAAAUAGGAAGAGUGAGGGCUGGUGAGAGAGGGCGAGAGCGUGAGAAAGUGUGUGAGGAAGGGGCAGUGAGGAGAGGUCAAACUGACAAGAGAAGGAAAACAAGCUAAAGGCUUGUUUGAUAACUUUUUUUUAGUUUUCACUAUAUUAUGAAUGGAAAAUGUUUUGAUAGGGCUGCAGCUUUACUAUAAUAACUUGGGCUGCAGCCAUCCAUGCCGUCCAUUAAUUUGGACAGUCCAAGUCUUUUACACCGGUGAAUAAGAGAAACCAGGGCACCCAAAUCCCCGGUUACCACUGAAUUUUCUAAUAAAAGUGUAUUUUUUUUCUUCUUGUUCUUGAAACCAUAUACCCUUCCACUGAAUUGCUCUCCCUCUAAAUCUCCUCUCUGGUUCUUUGUUUGCCUCUCUCCCCUUUAAAGCCCUCUAUGAUCUCCUUCAAAAAUCACAAUUUGCGCCUAACUCAUUGUUACUCUUGAUUUUCUCUCUCUUCUCUCUCUACAUACUUCUCCAUCUCUACACUUUCCCUCUUUAAAACCCACCUUCUAAUUGUGUUUCUAGUAAUACAGAGCAAAUCAUUUGUUUUGUCUCCCAUAAGAUGUCCAUAUGAUCAGCAAAACAUUGUAUUUGCCAAUAUUACAAGACAAAAACAAGUAGUAAUUCUGAUAGUUCAUGCAAGCAAAAAAAGCAUGGAAAACCUGGUGGUUUUUAGUGAAAGAAUCCCAAAGCAUGAUCUCAGAAUCAGUAGGCAAUAAUCCUGCAUCCUUAAGCUCGAUACUAGAAUCUUUAGAUCAUUUGUUGCCAGAGGUAAAGACAAUUCUGUGCUUUCUGUUUCUUGCCAGUAACCGUGGCCUAGUAGUUUUUAACAAAUAACCCAAAUAGUUUCUAUCCCCAUCAAUGCAUGAGCUUCUUGUUGGAUUUCAAAUAGCACUUCUGAGAUCUACAUGCAGUAAAUAUACAUGCAAAAGCAAGAUGAUAGAAAUUGUACAGAGAAGGAUUUGCUUCAUUUCUCUAUGCAUGAUGGUCUGAUGUUGAAUUUUGAGAGUGGACAUACAACAUCAUUAAUAGAGAAUUUGCAAAUAAGUUUCCCUCUCUAAAACCUAGACCACGUGAUAGUUUCCCUGCAUGUGACUCAUUGCAAUUCUAGAGAGAGAAUCUCAGUACCUCUCAAAAAUAUCAAGAGUUUUCUCUCACAAAGAAUCAAACAGUUGAUAGGGCUCAUACUCUUUGGAAAUUUCAAGUCUCUCUUUCAAAUUUCAAUUCUAUUUGGAACUUCAGCAAGGAUUGGGGGGGCUAGAGUUUCUUUCAUCUUCGACUGGAAUUUGAAUUGUGGGAUGGUCAUGCGGGGUGUGAUCUUUUCAAUGACCAUUGUGAGCAGUAUUGGUCUUGGUGUUUUCUAUGAACUAGGACCUUUUCUAGUUUCCCUGGGUCGCUGGUUUUUGCAAGAGACCUUUUAAGAUCUUCAUCUUUUGCAUUGGAAAAUUUAGAGAGAGAGAGAGAGAGAGGUGAUUUGGGUAAUAAGAGAAUGGAAAGUUCUCUAGAGAGAGACGCAAAUUGGGGAGAGAGAGGAGAAUUGGAUAUUGUUUGGGUACUUGGAAAUAUAUUGUCUGGGAAAUAUAUUACUGGUGUAAUACAUUAUAGGCAUAAUACAUUAUUAGAUUGUUAUUGUUUGGGUAGUAUCUAGAUGCAACCUGAGAAAUACAAUGCUACUGUUAGGCUGUCUAGAGGAUAUCUGGGAAAUGCAUUACCAACAUUUUGGCAAGGAAAUCGUGUGUUGAUUUUAUCUAUAGUAAUGUGGUUUUUUUAAUACUUUUUUUUCCUUUCUAGGAUAAAAAAGCUACUUUGUUUUUUAAUAUGGUUUUUUUAAUACUUUUUUUCCUUUUUAGGAUAAAUAAUCGAUUAAAACUACUUUGUUUUCUAAUAUGUGAAGGAAUAUCCACAUGGACUAAUUUUAUCCCUCUUCUCCUUACAAUUAUUCCGUUAAUAGGUGGAUAACAUCACUAUUUUCCAAAGAGAGACUAUUGCUAUUGUCAUCACUUACUAAUAUGUGAAAAUGAAUGGUGUCACCAAUUCCCACUUAUGCCAAGACCUGUUAUGCAUGAUUAUGUGCGAGUAAUUAUGAUCAUAUUCAAUUCCUGUUAUCCAUUGAUCCACAAUAACUAAAACAAGUAGAACAUAGUAACAAAAGUCCAACAAAUUGAGAAAAAAAAAUUGCCCAAGAUCAGUAGUAAUAGUUGCAAAGCACAUGAACGUACUAGUAGUUGCAAAGCACAUGAAUAUACAAGAAGUAAAUGGUACAAGAAUCAGUUCUUGGUGCGGUUUUACCAAAUCAAAUUUUGACUUCCAAAUUCCACAUUAUCAUAUAAAAGAGAAUCGUAUUCUGCAAGGUCUCACAUAAAAGAUUUCAAAAGCUAAAUAUUCUAUUCCCUAUAUCGUUAAUGUGUUCUCCAAUCCUUUUUUCUCCACAUAAAAUAGGCCAUUAAAACCCAUUCAUGGAUAGUUUGGUAUCUGAUGACAGAGAAUCAUGGGCCAAAAUGAAAUUUGGAGGCAACUGUACGAGGGAAAUGUAAAAAAACCAAAUAAUGGAGAAGAUGUAAUGGCACCCAAUAGAUUUGGCUCCAAGACUACUAUAGCUACCACCACAAAACAAAGGCAAUAACCUACGACUAGUAUACACCGCAACUGAAAUUUAUCCACUAAGGCACAAGUCUAAUAAGACACCCAACUGAAAUUGAUGCACAGCUGCCUCUGCCACAACCAAGACACCCAACUGUGAACAUACAUAAUCAUUCUAACUGAAAGGCAGACUUAUCAGUGGCUGCAAUUACAUUGAACCACUAAUUAAAACCAAUGUGGCAAUUAUAAGACUGUCAAGAACCAACUAAAACACACGUCUAAUAAGAAAUAAUUAUUCAACAAAUAAAACAACAGCUAAAGCCAAACAUAUGAGAGAAACAAAUAGCUUCAGGAACAGAUAGCUUUAGGAUUCUAUAAUUCACAUACAAUCCCAAAAUUAGGAAGGGAAGAGAACGGUUUGACUCAAACCGGUUGCAAAAGGUAGUUGUAGGUUAGCGAGUACAACAAUGCAUACAAUAAUCCCAACCAGAAAAACAUUUCAUUGCAGUACAAAUUUAAGGAAAGCAUGGUAUCGGAAAACUCAAAGUGCUUUCAUAUUACACCGAUCUUCGUGGAAAAUGGAAAUGAAAUUAUUGCAAUCAAUCAACAGCAGCUCAUGGUCCCCCAUCAAAUGACAUUGAAUUUUCUCUGCACAACCCAAUCUCAUAUGGAUUUCGAACAAAUCAUGAGAAUGAAAUGGAAUUCAAUUUAACCAAAUCAGUAUAUGACCUUGAUGAAGUUCAUCUUGAUAAGUCACUAAAUAAAUCUUUCCAAUGAACAUUGGAUAAUCUCAUUUAUUGUUUUCCAUGUCCAUUAUAUAUUUUUUGGGGUUUUUACUGUUUAUGUGAACGAAAACACACAAAAACAGUCCGUGGGAAAAAAAGAAAAGGAUUGAGCGGGAUAAUUCUCCAUUUUCCCACCAUGGGCAACUACUCCACACAUAAUCAAGCGAUGGAUGAAUUUUAAUCCAGAGUCGAAGUGAUGGCCAAUGGAAUUUAUCAUCUGAACAAUUAACAGCAAAUUGGAUUCUCAAUGGAAAGGAAAUGAGAGUUACAUGGUUUAAGAGCUUACAUGGCAAUAAUAAUUAGGUUUGUUUGGACCAACAAUUUGUAGAGCUUGCUUUACUGAGACGAAUGCAAAGGCUGGCUGGCUUGCAAGAAUUCU